UUGACCUCAGAUCAGGCAAGACUACCCGCUGAGUUUAAGCAUAUCA
rnacentral:rRNA from 1 species